rnacentral:tRNA from 1 species
GGUUCUGUGGUGUAAUGGUUAGCACUUUGGACUUUGAAUCCAAGGAUCGAGUUCAAAUCUCGGCAGGACCU